AGAGUUUGAUCAUGGCUCAGGACGAACGCUGGCGGCGUGCUUAAAACAUGCAAGUCGAGCGAGGUCCACCCGGUGGCAACACCGGGGAAGACCUAGCGGCGAACGGGUGAGUAACACGUGAGCAACCUGCCCCGGAGACCGGGACAACCCGGGGAAACUCGGGCUAAUACCGGAUGUCCUCAUCGGGUCGCAUGGCCUGAUGAGGAAAUGGAUUCCGCUCCGGGAGGGGCUCGCGGCCUAUCAGCUUGUUGGUGAGGUAAUGGCUCACCAAGGCGACGACGGGUAGCCGGCCUGAGAGGGUGACCGGCCACACUGGGACUGAGACACGGCCCAGACUCCUACGGGAGGCAGCAGUGGGGAAUAUUGCACAAUGGGCGAAAGCCUGAUGCAGCGACGCCGCGUGAGGGAUGACGGCCUUCGGGUUGUAAACCUCUUUCAGUAGGGAAGAAGCGAAAGUGACGGUACCUGCAGAAGAAGCGCCGGCUAACUACGUGCCAGCAGCCGCGGUAAUACGUAGGGCGCAAGCGUUAUCCGGAAUUAUUGGGCGUAAAGAGCUCGUAGGCGGUUUGUCGCGUCUGCCGUGAAAGUCCGGGGCUCAACUCCGGAUCUGCGGUGGGUACGGGCAGACUAGAGUGAUGUAGGGGAGACUGGAAUUCCUGGUGUAGCGGUGAAAUGCGCAGAUAUCAGGAGGAACACCGAUGGCGAAGGCAGGUCUCUGGGCAUUAACUGACGCUGAGGAGCGAAAGCAUGGGGAGCGAACAGGAUUAGAUACCCCUGUAGUCC
rnacentral:rRNA from 1 species